GAUGAACGCUGGCGGCGUGCCUAAUACAUGCAAGUCGAGCGAACGGACGAGAAGCUUGCUUCUCUGAUGUUAGCGGCGGACGGGUGAGUAACACGUGGAUAACCUACCUAUAAGACUGGGAUAACUUCGGGAAACCGGAGCUAAUACCGGAUGAUAUUUUGAACCGCAUGGUUCAAAAGUGGAAGACGGUCUUGCUGUCACUUAUAGAUGGAUCCGCGCUGCAUUAGCUAGUUGGUAAGGUAACGGCUUACCAAGGCAACGAUGCAUAGCCGACCUGAGAGGGUGAUCGGCCACACUGGAACUGAGACACGGUCCAGACUCCUACGGGAGGCAGCAGUAGGGAAUCUUCCGCAAAGGGCGAAAGCCUGACGGAGCAACGCCGCGUGAGUGAUGAAGGUCUUCGGAUCGUAAAACUCUGUUAUUAGGGAAGAACAUAUGUGUAAGUAACUGUGCACAUCUUGACGGUACCUAAUCAGAAAGCCACGGCUAACUACGUG
rnacentral:rRNA from 1 species